rnacentral:rRNA from 1 species
GACGAACGCUGGCGGCGUGCUUAACACAUGCAAGUCGAACGAGAAGAGAUGAGAAGCUUGCUUCUUAUUGAUUCGAGUGGCAAACGGGUGAGUAACGCGUAAGCAACCUGCCCUUCAGAUGGGGACAACAGCUGGAAACGGCUGCUAAUACCGAAUACGUUCUUUUGUCGCAUGGCAGAGGGAAGAAAGGGAGGCUCUUCGGAGCUUUCGCUGAAGGAGGGGCUUGCGUCUGAUUAGCUAGUUGGAGGGGUUAACGGCCCACCAAGGCGACGAUCAGUAGCCGGUCUGAGAGGAUGAACGGCCACAUUGGGACUGAGAUACGGCCCAGACUCCUACGGGAGGCAGCAGUC